rnacentral:rRNA from 1 species
CCCUUAGAUGUUUUCGGCGGCACGCGCUCUACAAUGGAUAGCUCAACACGUUUUUGUUGGAGUCUUUCUCUCCUUUUGGGGAGGGACUCGUUCCGUGCUAGAAAUGGCUCGGCAAUCGAAAAUGCUAUUCGUAUUGGGGAUUGAUCUUUGUAAUUUUCGAUCAUGAACGAGGAAUGUCUAGUAAGGCCAAGUCAUCAACUUGGCCUGAAUACGUCCCUGCAAUUUGUACACACCGCCCGUCGCACCUACCGAUCGAACGUCGCGACGAGAAUUUGGGAGCAUCGACGCCUUGUUUGGGGUGUUGGAGUGAACUUGUUCAAGUCUCGUUGUUUAGAGGAAGGUGAAGUCGUANCA